GUGAGUCAUCGAAUCUUUGAACGCACCUUGCGCCCCUUGGCUAUUCCGAGGGGCAUGCCUGUUUGAGUAUCAUGAACACCUCAACUCUCAUGGUUUGCCAUGAUGAGUUGGACUCUGGGGGUUUUGCUGGCCUGUGGUCGGCUCCUCUCAAAUUAAUCAGCCUCCCAGUGUUUGGUGGCAUCACGGGUGUGAUAAAUAUCUACGCUCGCUGUUGUCUGCCAGGUAACCUUUGGUCACAAAGGUUUGCUGGAGCUCACAGAUGUCUCUCCUCAGCGAGGACAGCUUUUUUAACGUUCGAUCUCAAAUCAGGUAGG
rnacentral:rRNA from 1 species